GAUGAACGCUGGCGGCGUGCCUAAUACAUGCAAGUCGAACGAAGAUUGUAGCAAUACUUUCUUAGUGGCGAACGGGUGAGUAACGCGUUGGUUACCUGCCCCGAAGAGGGGGACAACAGUUCGAAAGGACUGCUAAAACCCAAUGUGAUCUCUUGGAUUAGAUGCCUGUUGAUGAAAAGGGAUUUAUAUCGCUUCGGGAGGGACCUGCGUCCCAUCAGCUAGUUGGUAGGGUAAUGGCCUAGCAAGGCGAAGACGGGUAGGGGGCCUUAGAGGGUGACCCCCCAAACCGACACUGAAACACGGGUCAGACACCUACGUGUGGCAGCAGGAGGGAAUAUUGGUAAUGGGCGAAACGCCGAACAAGCAACGCCGCGUGCGCGAUGAAGGCCUUCGGGUUGUAAAACGGUUUUUGAGGGGAUGAUGAAGGACAGUACCCUCAGAAUAAGCCUCGGCUAACUACGUGCCAGCCGCCGCGGUAACAC
rnacentral:rRNA from 1 species